UAGGGUGCCCUGCCUCAAGAAUUAGGUGUUGACAGUUAUUAGUGUAUUGCAGUCAAAUCAAAGUUUCUUUGGAGUGUGGGGUGAAAAUAUACCAAAAGAUUAAGUGUUUAUCACUGUUGCAGUUAUGGAUAAUUGUUAUUUUCUUCCUGCUAAUCUUUAUCAUUCAUUUUUCCUUUCUUUUUUUUUUUUUUUGAGAUGGAGUCUUGCUCUGUUGCCCAGGCUGGAGCACAGUGGCGCGAUCUUGGCUCACUGCAACCUCUGCCUUCCAGGUUCAAGCGAUUCUCCUCCCUCAGCCUCCUGAGUAGCUGGGACUACAGGCACGUGCCACCACGCCCGGCUACUUUUUGUAUUUUUUAGUAGAGACAGGGUUUCAAUGUGUUAGUCAGGAUGGUCUUUAUUUCCUGACCUCGUGAUCCACCCGCCUUGGCUUCCCAAAGUGCUGGGAUUACAGGCGUGAGCCACCGCGCCUGGCCAACUGAAUCGUAUUCUUCUUUGUGUACUUUCCUGUCUAGAUGUUAGACUUUGCAAGCUUACUAAAGGGUGGAUAAUGCCUGAGCCUUCUGGAGUCCGUCGGGUGUGAAGUGAGCGCUGGA
rnacentral:sRNA from 1 species